rnacentral:rRNA from 4 species
GGGCUACACACGUGCUACAAUGGCAACUACAGUGGGCAGCGACCCUGCGAGGGCGAGCUAAUCCCCAAAAGUUGUCUCAGUUCGGAUUGUUCUCUGCAACUCGAGAGCAUGAAGGCGGAAUCGCUAGUAAUCGCGGAUCAGCAUGCCGCGGUGAAU